CCGUGGCACGCUUGGCGCUGGGCCGGCCCAGCGCUCCCCGUCGCCUUCCCACUCCCCCACGGAUAGGUGUGUGCGUAGCCGCCUUUCUCCCGAGGUUGGCUCCACCCUUCAGCGGACGGCUUGGUGCAGCCCCGUCCCCCCGUGGUGCAUGGUACGGCCCCCGGCCCCCUCAGCCUCCCCCCUCCCUCACCGGCUCCGAGUGGUACGCGCCCCCCGGUGCAGACGCGGAACUGGCGCGCGCUCCGAGCGGGGCUGGCGCCCGCGAGCUUCCGACGCUCUGCUGCCGGGGGCCGUCUGGCUGGGCCUGGCCGGCGCCCCACGGCUCGGGAGAUAACAUCAGAAUUCCUCCUGGGAACAGUGACUCCUUGUGUGGUGCCUUGAAGUUUCUCUGAGAUGAACUGAUGAAUUGGAGCCAUGGUGCAAAAGAAGAAGUUCUGUCCUCGGUUACUUGACUAUCUCGUGAUCGUAGGGGCCAGGCACCCAAGCAGUGAUAGUGUGGCCCAGACUCCUGAAUUAUUACGGCGCUACCCACUGGAGGACCACGCUGAGUUUCCCCUGCCCCCAGACGUAGUGUUCUUCUGCCAACCAGAGGGCUGUCUGAGUGUGCGGCAGCGGCGCAUGAGCCUGCGGGAUGAUACUUCUUUUGUCUUCACCCUCACUGACAAGGACACUGGAGUCACUCGUUAUGGCAUCUGUGUUAACUUCUACCGCUCCUUCCAGAAGCGUAUGCCUAAGGACAAGGGGGAUGGGGGGGCAGGGUCCCGUGGGAAGGAAGGACCCCGUGCUACUUGUGCCCCAGAAGAGAUUGGCACUGAGAGGUCAGAGAGUGGCUUGUCCCUGCAGCCUCCCAGUGCUGACUCUGCCCCUAAUGUGACUCAGUCUCCUCGGGGGAAACCCCGGGCCAAGACGGGGAGCCGCUCCCGCAAUAGUACUCUGACAUCCUUGUGCGUGCUCAGCCACUAUCCCUUCUUCUCCACCUUCCGAGAAUGUCUGUACACCCUCAAACGUCUGGUGGACUGCUGCAGUGAGCGGCUGCUGGGCAAGAAACUAGGCAUCCCUCGAGGUAUACAAAGGGACACUAUGUGGCGCAUCUUUACUGGAUCAUUGCUAGUGGAGGAGAAGUCAAGUGCCCUUCUUCAUGACCUUCGAGAGAUCGAGGCCUGGAUCUAUCGAUUGCUGCGCUCCCCAGUGCCUGUCUCUGGGCAGAAGCGAGUGGACAUUGAGGUCCUACCCCAGGAGCUCCAACAAGCUCUGACCUUUGCUCUUCCAGACCCUUCUCGAUUCACCCUAGUGGAUUUCCCACUGCACCUUCCCUUGGAACUUCUGGGUGUGGAUGCCUGUCUCCAGGUGCUAACCUGCAUUCUGUUAGAGCACAAGGUGGUGCUACAGUCCCGAGACUACAAUGCCCUCUCCAUGUCUGUGAUGGCGUUUGUGGCAAUGAUCUACCCACUGGAGUAUAUGUUUCCUGUAAUCCCACUGCUGCCCACCUGCAUGGCAUCAGCAGAACAGCUGCUGUUAGCUCCAACUCCGUACAUCAUCGGGGUCCCUGCCAGCUUCUUCCUCUACAAACUGGACUUCAAAAUGCCUGAUGAUGUAUGGCUGGUGGAUCUGGACAGCAAUAGGGUGAUUGCCCCCACCAAUGCAGAAGUGCUACCAAUCCUGCCAGAACCGGAAUCAUUGGAGCUGAAAAAGCAUUUGAAGCAGGCCCUUGCCAGCAUGAGUCUCAACACCCAGCCCAUCCUCAAUCUGGAGAAAUUCCAUGAAGGCCAAGAGAUCCCCCUUCUCUUGGGUAGGCCUUCUAACGACUUGCAGUCCACACCUUCCACUGAAUUCAACCCACUCAUCUAUGGCAAUGAUGUAGAUUCUGUGGAUGUUGCAACCAGAGUGGCUAUGGUCCGUUUCUUCAACUCCCCCAACGUGCUGCAGGGCUUUCAGAUGCACACACGUACCCUGCGUCUCUUCCCUCGGCCUGUAGUAGCUUUUCAAGCUGGCUCCUUUCUAGCCUCACGUCCCCGGCAGACUCCUUUUGCUGAGAAACUGGCCAGGACACAGGCUGUGGAGUACUUUGGAGAAUGGAUCCUUAACCCCACCAACUAUGCCUUCCAGCGAAUUCACAACAACAUGUUUGAUCCAGCCCUGAUUGGUGACAAGCCAAAGUGGUAUGCUCAUCAGCUGCAGCCUAUCCAUUAUCGAGUCUAUGAUAGCAAUUCCCAGCUGGCAGAGGCACUGUGUGUGCCACCAGAACGUGACUCUGACUCUGACCCUACUGAUGACAGUGGCAGUGAUAGUAUGGAUUAUGAUGACUCAAGCUCUUCCUACUCCUCCCUUGGUGACUUUGUCAGUGAAAUGAUGAAAUGUGACAUCAAUGGUGAUACUCCCAAUGUGGAUCCAUUGACACACGCAGCCCUGGGGGAUGCCAGUGAGGUGGAGAUUGAUGAGCUGCAAAACCAGAAGGAAUCAGAGGAACCUGGCCCAGACAGUGAGAACUCUCAGGAAAACCCGCCACUGCGCUCCAGCUCCAGCACCACUGCCAGCAGUAGCCCCAGCACUGUCAUCCAUGGAGCUAAUUCUGAACCUGCCAACUCAACGGAGGUGGACGAUAAGGCAGCAGUAGGUGUCUCCAAGCCCCCCCCCACAGUGCCUCCCAGCAUUGGCAAAUUGAACGUGGACAGGCGUCAGACAGAAAUUGGAGAGGGGUCAGUGCGCCGGCGAACCUAUGACAAUCCAUACUUCGAGCCCCAAUAUGGCUUUCCCCCUGAGGAGGAGGAUGAUGAGCAGGGGGAAAGUUACACUCCCCGAUUCAGCCAACAUGUCAAUGGCAAUCGGGCUCAAAAGAUGCUGCGGCCCAACAGCUUGAAGCUGGCAAGCGACUCAGACGCAGAGUCAGACUCUCGAGCGAGCUCUCCCACCUCCACCGUCUCCAACACCAGCACCGAGGGCUUCGGGGGCAUCAUGUCUUUUGCCAGCAGCCUGUAUCGAAACCACAGUACAAGCUUCAGUCUUUCAAACCUCACACUGCCCACCAAAGGUGCCCGAGAGAAGACGACCCCCUUCCCCAGUCUGAAAGUAUUUGGGCUAAAUACUCUAAUGGAGAUUGUUACUGAAGCCGGCCCCGGGAGUGGUGAAGGAAACAGGAGGGCCUUAGUGGACCAGAAGUCAUCUGUUAUUAAACACAGCCCAACAGUGAAAAGAGAGCCUCCAUCACCUCAGGGUCGAUCCAGCAAUUCUAGUGAGAACCAACAGUUCCUGAAGGAAGUGGUACACAGCGUGCUGGAUGGCCAGGGUGUUGGCUGGCUCAACAUGAAAAAGGUGCGUCGGCUGCUGGAGAGUGAGCAGCUGCGAGUCUUUGUCCUGAGCAAGCUGAACCGAACUGUGCAGUCAGAGGAUGAUGCCUGGCAGGACGUCAUCCCCGAUGUGGAGAUCAGCAGAAAGGUGUACAAGGGGAUGUUAGACCUGCUCAAGUGCACGGUACUCAGCCUGGAGCAGUCCUAUGCCCACGCGGGUCUGGGUGGCAUGGCCAGCAUCUUUGGGCUUCUGGAGAUUGCCCAGACCCACUACUAUAGUAAAGAACCAGACAAGCGGAAGAGAAGUCCAACAGAGAGUGUAAAUACACCAGUUGGCAAGGAUCCUGGCCUGGCUGGGCGGGGGGACCCAAAAGCUAUGGCACAGCUGAGAGUUCCCCAGCUGGGCCCUCGGGCGCCAAGUGCUGCAGGAAAGGGUCCCAAAGAACUAGACACCAGAAGUUUAAAGGAAGAGAAUUUUGUAGCAUCUGUUGGGCCUGAAGUAAUCAAACCCGUCUUUGACCUUGGUGAGACAGAGGAGAAAAAGUCCCAGAUCAGCGCAGACAGUGGUGUGAGCCUGACAUCUGGUUCCCAGAGGACUGAUACAGACUCUGUCAUUGGUGUGAGUCCAGCUGUUAUGAUCCGAAGCUCAAGUCAGGACUCUGAAGUUAGCACCGUGGUGAGUAAUAGUUCUGGAGAGACCCUUGGAGCAGAUAGUGACCUGAGCAGCAAUGCAGGUGAUGGACCAGGUGGUGAAGGCAGCGCCCACUUGGCAAGCUCUCGGGGCACUUUGUCUGAUAGUGAAAUUGAGACCAAUUCUGCUACCAGCACCAUCUUUGGGAAAGCCCAUAGCUUGAAGCCAAGUGUAAAGGAGAAGCUGGUGGGCAGCCCAGUUCGCUCUUCCGAAGAUGUAAGCCAGCGGGUCUAUCUGUACGAGGGACUCCUAGGAAGGGACAAAGGAUCGAUGUGGGACCAGUUAGAGGAUGCGGCUAUGGAGACCUUUUCUAUAAGCAAAGAACGUUCUACUUUGUGGGACCAAAUGCAGUUCUGGGAAGAUGCAUUCUUAGAUGCUGUGAUGUUGGAGAGAGAAGGGAUGGGUAUGGACCAGGGUCCCCAGGAAAUGAUCGACAGGUACCUGUCCCUGGGAGAACAUGACCGGAAGCGCCUAGAGGAUGAUGAAGAUCGUUUGCUGGCCACACUUUUGCACAACCUCAUCUCCUACAUGCUGCUGAUGAAGGUAAAUAAGAAUGACAUCCGGAAGAAGGUGAGGCGCCUGAUGGGAAAGUCCCAUAUUGGGCUUGUGUACAGCCAGCAAAUCAAUGAAGUGCUUGAUCAGCUGGUGAACCUGAAUGGACGUGAUCUCUCUAUCCGGUCCAGUGGCAGCCGGCACAUGAAAAAGCAGACAUUUGUGGUACAUGCAGGGACAGACACAAAUGGAGACAUCUUCUUCAUGGAGGUGUGUGAUGACUGUGUGGUGUUACGUAGUAACAUCGGGACGGUGUAUGAGCGCUGGUGGUAUGAGAAGCUCAUCAACAUGACCUACUGUCCCAAGACCAAGGUGUUGUGCUUGUGGCGUAGAAAUGGCUCUGAGACUCAGCUCAACAAAUUCUAUACUAAGAAGUGUCGGGAGCUGUACUACUGUGUGAAGGACAGCAUGGAGCGGGCUGCUGCCCGGCAGCAAAGCAUCAAACCUGGCCCUGAACUGGGUGGCGAGUUCCCUGUGCAGGACAUGAAGACUGGUGAGGGUGGCUUGCUGCAGGUCACCCUAGAAGGGAUCAAUCUCAAGUUCAUGCACAACCAGGUUUUCAUAGAGCUGAAUCACAUUAAAAAGUGCAAUACAGUCCGAGGCGUCUUUGUCCUGGAGGAAUUUGGUAAUUACACUAUUUUGCUCUUAGGUCUGGACUCACAUGGCAGUAACUCAAACCUCGGCGCUCCAGAGGAGGGACUUAGAGACAGAGAGAAGAGCCACCUCUGCAGAGAGGUCAGGAGGCUUAGGAGUGUUAGGGAAGAGAAGGGAACCUGCGAUGACCAAGGGGAAGGAGGAGGAAAGAAGAGCGAGACAGUGGCUGCUAGGGAAUGGGUCCCAGAGGGGCAAGUGGCCUUAGACGGGGUUAGACUUCAGAGAUGCUCCCACGGAGGCUCUUUGAGCUGGCGCCACCUUCCCUUGGCCAGCUGGUGCUCAGAAAGUUCUGGGGCAGAGCCGAUGGGCAGUUUCCAAGCUCUGCUGCGUUCAUGUUGCCUGCUGAGCUCUUCCUAGCAGCCCAGUGCUCCAUCCAGCCGCCCUGGCGCCACCCCGGUGUCUGUGAGCCUCUGUGCCACAGGAGCGGUGCAUGGUGGACCAGGCAGCCUCACUCUAGAGGGCAGGGAAGCCCAGUGGGCCUCACAGGCAGGCAGGGCAGUUGUCGCCGAGGCUGGGAGCCAGCCUCCCUGCAGCCCAGCGCUGACGCUGACCAGUGGUGUAGCGGGUUCUCACCCUGGGGCUUUGAGUUCCUGCUGUGUUUGUGCUUCAUUCUUUUGUGCCCCUCAUCGCUGCUAUGAAAACCUUCGUUCUCCAGCAGGUAAAGUGACCUCGGCUCGUGCUGCCUCCCCCCAGGCCCCCGCCUGGGCCCUGCAGGGGGUGGGAUGGGCUCCCUUCAACCAGACCAGCUGCUCACAUUGCCAGUUUGUCUCAUCCCUCUUCUCCCCACCCUCUUCCUCCCAGCCUCCCCCACUCCCCCACCCUCGUGCUGGCUCACUGGUUCUGAGUUUUCUCCGCCCGAACCCCCACCCCCACCCCGUGCUCCCUUCUCUCUUCUGCCAGAGAGAUAUUUGGGGGGAAUCUUUCAAUUCAGGAGAAGGACCUGGGCUUAUUGCUCUACCUAUGAUGAGUUUUUUCCCUUUCCACCCUGGGUCCCCCUGCAUUCUACCUCCCAGGGUCAGAAGAAGGUGUGGCCAAUUCUCAUCCUACCUUUUCUGGCCCCCAGGGGGACGCCAAGCCCCUCUGCUCCCAUCUCCAGGGGCCAUCAGGAUGGCUGAGACCCGGGGGGCCUUCCUCCUUCCUCUGGCCAAGCAGAACCCCUGCAUGGCUGGGGCAGGGGUGCCUCUUACUUAGCCUUGCAUUCCGGGCUGUGGACAUGUGUGUAUUUUGCCUGAUGCUCCCUGUCACCUCCCUCCCCGGGUGCCGUACUCGCCUGUCUUCUGCUCGAUGUGUCUGCUCCAGAGCCCUCUGACGCUCUCCCUCACACAGGCAGGCCUGGGCCUCUCCUGCCACUCAGGGAAGGAAGCUUACGAGUCUGGUGGGUUUAGUACCAUGCCACUUCUUCAUCCAGCCUAAGGACCCUCUGCGUAGGGGCUGGGAGUACAGGGAACCAUGCUUAACAUGACAGUUUCGGGCCGGUAACAGGGAUGAGUUCUGGGGCAUCCCAGCAAGGUGAGGCACAGGCUAGAGACAACUCUCUUCACCCAGCCAAAAUGGGGGAAGGCCCCACCGCAGCUCCUCGGGGCCCUGGCCAGUAGCAGUGAACGGGCUGGUGAAAGGCCAACCCACUCCUGUGCUGAGGCUCUCGAAGAAGCGGGUAGAGUCGCAGCCGUGGAGCAGGGAGCCACAACAGACCUCACAGGUCUGGCUGAGGAGUCUGGGGCAGUGUCCUCUCAUCCCCCAGUGGCGGGGCAGAAGCUGUCAUAGCGUAAACUGCUGCAGCCACUGGGACAGGCCACAGUGGGGACGGGGACCCUGGUGCCGGGCGCUGCCGCCUGGGGGAGUGUGGCACUAUCGCUCUUAGUUUUGAACUUUCUGUUUUGUCUCUUGCCCGUCCGGUUUUAGUUCCUGAAAUUAAAGAAGUGGUGAGCCACAAGUACAAGACACCAAUGGCCCAUGAGAUCUGCUACUCUGUGUUGUGUCUCUUCUCGUAUGUGGCUGCAGUUCGUAGCAGUGAGGAAGAUCUCAGGACCCCACCCCGGCCCGUCUCGA